rnacentral:rRNA from 1 species
UGAUCCUGGCUCAGAUUGAACGCUGGCGGCAGGCCUAACACAUGCAAGUCGAGCGGUAGAGAGGUGCUUGCACCUCUUGAGAGCGGCGGACGGGUGAGUAAAGCCUAGGAAUCUGCCUGGUAGUGGGGGAUAACGCUCGGAAACGGACGCUAAUACCGCAUACGUCCUACGGGAGAAAGCAGGGGACCUUCGGGCCUUGCGCUAUCAGAUGAGCCUAGGUCGGAUAGCUAGUUGGUGAGGUAAUGGCUCACCAAGGCGACGAUCCGUAACUGGUCUGAGAGGAUGAUCAGUCACACUGGAACUGAGACACGGUCCAGACUCCUACGGG